GAGCAGAGAAAAAGUUGGAGAGUAGAGCACAAACCCUUGCCUUGUCUCUCAUGGUUUCUGUCUUCCUCUUUCUCAAUCGCUAGUUGCCGUCGUUCGUGUGAGUCAUCGUCGCAGGUGUGCUUGCCGCCGUUUCAUCCACCCCAGCUGUGAGUUCUUCCUCUGUUUCACCGCCGUUCCUCCGCUUCUGUCAUUGUUUCAAUCCCUCCUUCUUCACUGUUCGAAGUUGCCUCCUCCUUUCUCUGUUUGUGUGAUGUGGUCAUUGAAGUCACUCUCUAUUUUUGGGGCGUGACACUUGAUGUAGGUCCCUCAUGCCAUUACGAGACUCCUAUAAAUGAAGCUUCAUCUUGUGGAUGCCAAUACACUUAAUCAUUCCCUUAUUACUUACUUGAGUUAUGGCAUUUGUAAUGAUGCUCUGUUUCUACUUGUUCUUUCUUUCUGCUUCCCUUUCUUCUUCUCUCAACCCCUUUUUUGUAAUUAUCGCACCCGAAAAUGCAACUCUGACGGUGCGAGAGUGGAGGUUCCGGCCUUCGGAAGGAAGACUGGAGAAAUGGGAGUCGCCACCAAGAUUUUGAGGGAAAUCUCGAGAAACCAUUUAAAGGUGGAUAAGGGUGGUCUGCAAAAACAGAAAAUAGGUUUGGGAGUCGAUUGAGUGUGGGGAAGGUGUUAGGCACCCCACAACACCCGUUCGUAAGAACGAUUACCUGAAGUUUGUUGUGCUAA